AUCGCUUCUCGGUCUUUUGGCUAAGAUCAAGUGUAGUAUCUGUUCUUGUCAGUUUAAAUGGUUAACCUCGUUCGAGGCCAGUAAUACUUUCUCUUUAGACAACUCACGGUCACAUCCACACUCUGUUAGGAGUGCAAGCCAA
rnacentral:snRNA from 1 species